rnacentral:rRNA from 1 species
GUGCCAGCCGCCGCGGUAAUACGGAGGAUGCAAGCGUUAUCCGGAAUGAUUGGGCGUAAAGCGUCCGCAGGUGGCAAUGUAAGUCUGCUGUUAAAGAGUGAGGCUCAACCUCAUAAGAGCAGUGGAAACUACAUAGCUAGAGUACGUUCGGGGCAGAGGGAAUUCCUGGUGUAGCGGUGAAAUGCGUAGAGAUCAGGAAGAACACCGGUGGCGAAGGCGCUCUGCUAGGCCGUAACUGACACUGAGGGACGAAAGCUAGGGGAGCGAAUGGGAUUAGAAACCCUCGUAGUCC